rnacentral:rRNA from 1 species
UACGUAGGGGGCUAGCGUUGUCCGGAUUUAUUGGGCGUAAAGAGCGUGUAGGCGGCUUGGUAGGUCCGCUGUGAAAACUCGAGGCUCAACCUCGAGAUGUCGGCGGAAACCACUUGGCUAGAGUCCGGAAGUGGAGAGUGGAAUUCCUGGUGUAGCGGUGAAAUGCGCAGAUAUCAGGAAGAACACCUAUGGCGAAGGCAGCUCUCUGGGACGGUACUGACGCUGAGACGCGAAAGCGUGGGGAGCGAACAGG